AGAGUUUGAUCCUGGCUCAGAACGAACGCUGGCGGCGUGGAUAAGACAUGCAAGUCGGACGCUGAUCGACGGGUAGCAAUAUUCGUCGGUCGGAGUGGCGUAAGGGUGCGUAACACGUGGGUAAUCUGCCGUGAAGUUGGGGAUAACUCGCUGAAAGGCGAGCUAAUACCGGAUGUGACAAUUAGGAGGCAUCUUCCGAUUGUCAAAGCUGGGGACCGUAAGGCCUGGCGCUUCAUGAUGAGCCCGCGGCCUAUCAGCUAGUUGGUGAGGUAACGGCUCACCAAGGCUAAGACGGGUAGCUGGUCUGAGAGGACGACCAGCCACACUGGAACUGAGACACGGUCCAGACACCUACGGGUGGCAGCAGUCGAGAAUUUUUCACAAUGGGCGCAAGCCUGAUGGAGCGACGCCGCGUGGGGGAUGAAUGGCUUCGGCCCGUAAACCCCUGUCAUUUGCGAACAAAUUGGUUCAAUUAACACCUGAACCAUUGAUAGUAGCGAAAGAGGAAGGGACGGCUAACUCUGUGCCAGCCGCCGCGGUAAUAC
rnacentral:rRNA from 1 species